GUCCCGUUCGUCUAGAGGCCCAGGACACUGCCCUUUCACGGCGGCGACAGGGGUUCGAAUCCCCUACGGGACGCCA
rnacentral:tRNA from 4 species